UCCGAUAUGGUGUAGUGGUAGUGCGCUCGACUACCAUUUUUUAGAGGUAGAGGUUCGAUACCUUUCUCGGAC